GGCGGACGGGUGAGUAACGCGUGGGAACGUGCCCUUUUCUCUGGAAUAGCCCUGGGAAACCGGGAGUAAUGCCGGAUACGCCCGCUUCGAGUAGAUCGGGGCGGGGAAAGAUUUUAUCGGGGAAGGAUCGGCCCGCGUCGGAUUAGGUAGUUGGUGGGGUAACGGCUCACCAAGCCGACGAUCCGUAGCUGGUUUGAGAGGAUGAUCAGCCACACUGGGACUGAGACACGGCCCAGACUCCUACGGGAGGCAGCAGUGGGGAAUCUUGGACAAUGGGGGCAACCCUGAUCCAGCCAUGCCGCGUGAGCGAUGAAGGCCUUAGGGUUGUAAAGCUCUUUCAGCGGGGAAGAUAAUGACGGUACCCGCAGAAGAAGCCCCGGCUAACUCCGUGCCAGCAGCCGCGGUAAUACGGAGGGGGCUAGCGUUGUUCGGAAUUACUGGGCGUAAAGCGCACGUAGGCGGACCAGCAAGUCGGGGGUGAAAUCCCGGGGCUCAACCCCGGAACUGCCUCCGAAACUGUUGGUCUGGAGGUCGAGAGAGGCGAGUGGAAUUCCGAGUGUAGAGGUGAAAUUCGUAGAUAUUCGGAGGAACACCAGUGGCGAAGGCGGCU
rnacentral:rRNA from 1 species